rnacentral:rRNA from 1 species
GACGAACGCUGGCGGCGCGCCUAACACAUGCAAGUCGAGCGGAGAUACUUGAAGGAAGUUUUCGGAUGGAAUUUGAGUAUUUUAGCGGCGGACGGGUGAGUAACGCGUGAGUGACCUGCCUUCCACAGGGGGAUAACGUACCGAAAGGUACACUAAUACCGCAUGAGACCACAGCACUGCCUGGUGCAGGGGUCAAAGGAGCAAUCCGGUGGAAGAUGGACUCGCGUCCGAUUAGAUAGUUGGUGGGGUAACGGCCUACCAAGUCAGCGAUCGGUAGCCGACCUGAGAGGGUGAUCGGCCACAUUGGAACUGAGAGACGGUCCAAACUCCUACGGGAGGCAGCAGUGGGGAAUAUUGGGCAAUGGGGGAAACCCUGACCCAGCGACGCCGCGUGAGGGAAGAAGGUUUUCGGAUUGUAAACCUCUGUUCUUGGUGAAGAGGGAAAGACGGUAGCCAAGGAGGAAGCCCCGGCUAACUACGUGCCAGCCGCCGCCGUAA